CCUACGGGAGGCAGCAGUGGGGAAUAUUGCACAAUGGGGGAAACCCUGAUGCAGCGACGCCGCGUGAGUGAAGAAGUAUUUCGGUACGUAAAGCUCUAUCAGCAGGGAAGAAAAUGACGGUACCUGACUAAGAAGCCCCGGCUAACUACGUGCCAGCAGCCGCGGUAAUACGUAGGGGGCAAGCGUUAUCCGGAUUUACUGGGUGUAAAGGGAGCGUAGACGGCAGCGCAAGUCUGGAGUGAAAUCCCAUGGCUUAACCAUGGAACUGCUUUGGAAACUGUGCAGCUAGAGUGCAGGAGAGGUAAGCGGAAUUCGUAGUGUAGCGGUGAAAUGCGUAGAUAUUAGGAGGAACACCAGUGGCGAAGGCGGCUUACUGGACUGUAACUGACGUUGAGGCUCGAAAGCGUGGGGAGCAAACAGGAUUAGAUACCCGGGUAGUC
rnacentral:rRNA from 1 species